AUUUUUCUAAAAACAAAAUACUUAUAUUCACAUCACAUUAAAACGUGGAAAGCAGUGAUAUCUCUCUUCAAAAUCAAACAAAGUGUAGUAAUCAUCUCCAAUCAAGAAGCACAGUGGCCGGUCCAUCUCCGGAGAGCAGUGAUAUCUCCGGCGAGCUCUAGCGCCUUGCGACGCUCCCCAUCCCUGAAACACCUGGUCUCACCGACCCAAGUCCGAGGGCUUCUUGAUCAUGGGUUUUUCAUUGCCAGAUUAGUAGGGGCUUAGAUUUUCUUUGGUUCUGGAUGGGAGAUAUGAUCUGAUGUGGUGUUUGGUCUGGGGGG
rnacentral:lncRNA from 1 species